rnacentral:lncRNA from 1 species
UUUGGUCACUUAAUAUGGGACACAAAACUUGUUCUGAUUUGUAGUAACAAAAUGGUUACUAAUACACUUAGGUUUAUUCCUUUUUGGCUUAUAAUUUGACAUUUGAUAACUAAAUGUUGUGGCGCCCCCAAAAUAGGUAUACAUCACUCAUUCUGAGUUGCCAAAUACAUGGUACAGAAACAAAUACAACUUCAGUAAUACAAUUGUCAUGCAAAAUACGACAACACAUAUACUGUGAGUUUGAAUACAAAUAUUGUCUAAUAGACAGUAUACAAACUCAAAAGGAGUCCUCAUUACAAUUAUUGAUACACUAUUUUACAAAAUAAUGAGGACUACUAAAAC